UCCCUGGUGGUCCAGUGGGUAAGACUCUGUGCUCACAAUGCAGCGGGCCGAGCCAGGUUCGAUCCCUGGUUGGGGAA